AUCUUAGCUGGAUGACUCUUACGAAACAGAAGGAUUUCGUACAUGUCCCAUGGUAUGUUAAGCAUUUACAUGGAUUAUGGUGCUUAAUUCUCAUGACGUCUAAGAGGUAGCUCUCUUGUUAGAGUCACUGAGGCUGAGGAACAGAGACACCAAUGACUUGUCCAAGACCGUCUGGCGCUGGUCAGAAGGAAUCAAAUCUUGUCCCAGGCAGCCGGAUGCUAGAGCCUGCGCUGAGGUACAAGUUGGUCCCACAUGCUGCUUUUUGCAAGGCUGUGUCCCACUGAGAGCUAAUUAGGAGGCCAAGGGAAUUACUUGACAUGUUUAUGGAAGGGACACAGAGGACAAGAAACAAGGGAACACAUUCCCUCUUUGUCUUUACAGUGAUGUGGUGAAGAAGAGCAGACAGUAUUCUUGCGCUGCAAUGGCAACAGGCAGUGGGAAUGAGGAGCAGAUGUGGGCAGCAAAAGUCCUCAUGCAGGGAGGGCUCCGUGAACUGGAAGCUGUGGGUGGCGUCUGCCCAUGGAGAGGGAGAGCCUGGGAGAAAAAACAACUAAGGUCCAGCAAGGAGCUACAAGCAACUGGGAAACAGAUUAAUGAGGUAGAGAAUCCAACAUUCUUAUCAGGCCUGAAGGACUACUUCAGUGCCAUGUUCUUAAUGACACCAGUGGACAGAGAAGUCCAAGUGUCUGGAAAAUGCUCGAGCACAGAAUGCUGUAUCACAUCUGACUUCUCUCAAGGAAAGAUGAGCAGGUCUCUGUGGAAAUGCCUGCAGGAGGGGCCUGGGAAACAGAUAAAGCCUGCAAAGAGGGCCGCUGGUCUGUGA
rnacentral:lncRNA from 1 species